rnacentral:lncRNA from 1 species
AGAAUACAUGGCGUCAAACGGUGGCUAACAUUCCUCUUCCAUUGCACAACCCCUAGGCUUCCCCAAUUGAGUAUCCCAUUGCUUGCAUCAUUCGAAGAGCUUUCGCAUCGUAUACCUUAAGCCCCUUAGAAAUAGGGCAUUACAGCUUCCAAUUCAAAUCUUUAAACAGUGUAGCAGGCGUGUUAGGCUAGAUAGCUGGAUCUGGGGCAUUACCACUGGGUAUAUCCAGGUACCUCAACCUUUUG